ensembl:lncRNA
GAGUAAUGGGGUGGGUUUCAGAUUACACCCAGGAAGCUGUCAAGAAGUUGGGACUCAAGACCGUGACGUGUGGGUAGACCCUGGACUUAUCCAUUCACCCUUAGUAUUUGAAGUAUCAUGAUCUCACCCUCAAAUGAAGGAAAUGACUUAGGCAUGGAAUGAAGUGGAUUUCUGGAGAUGCUGAGGGAUAUGUGCAGUAUACACAAGGAAGCUAACCUCUUCAUUUUGGAAAGAACACACCCAAACCGAAUCCUGAGGAACCCAGAGUGAUGGACUGCAACCGAAAGCAAACUGUUUGAGUAUGUGAAAGCUAGAGAGCCCUGAAAUAAAAUUGUACUGGCGAAAGGAUGAUGGCAGCUUCAGAAGUACCUGGUAGCCUCUGAACUUGCCUUUCAUUUAAUUUCCACUUGCUUCGUGGGAUUCCUUCAAGGUCAUAAAUUUUGAAUGAGGGUUUACCGUAGGAAGCUGUUGAAAUGGGGUGAGACAUCCUUGUACUUUUAUAAGUCCUGUGCUUCCACGAACUGAGCAAUUGGCCAGCAGUUUCUGUGCAGUCCAGGUGGCUCUCCCAACAUGGAUUCUUCAGCACAUCAAGCGGCGACUCCCAAGAGGACUGAAGAAGGAGACUUGUUUUGAAGCCGUGUCAAAAGGAUGCUGUGCAACCACUGCUUCAAAAGAACCCUUACCCUGGUAUAACUACCAGAGAACAACUGGCCUGAGACCUCGGCAUUCUAGAAAGCAGAAUUCAGGUCAACUUGAAUGUCUUUAUUCAUCCUCUCAGGGUCCACGACCAGAAGCAGUCAGGGCUAAGCAAUCUGGAGUCAGUCUUUAAGGUCUGGAAAUUUGCUUAAAAGCAUUAGCCAGAUGGUGUCAUGCAAUGUGAAGAACGAAAUGAAAAAACCCAACAAGUGAAAGUGACGUACUAGAGGAAGGGUACGAGACGAGGGUUUUCUCAUGGCUUGUACGCCCAGUAUGCCGUCUGCUACAGGGACUUCAGUUUUGAGGGCACGCUGGGGAGGGGACAUAUUUCUUUCUCUCGGUGCUUCUCUUCUGGGUGCUUGAGACAACAGUGACUCAAAUCCUGGCAGUGAUUGUGCAUCCCUUGGGAACAUGUGGCCAGAGUGAGACGAGUGGCUAUAGGCCCAUUUCAAUGGAUGGUGAGAAAGAAAAGUCCAUGAAACAAUGAAGCAUGAGGCCGGUUGUGCCAUGGAGUUUGUUCCUUUAUUGCUUGCCUCCAAAGAACUACCUGUGAAGCCUUCCUCUCUGGGCAGGUUUGAGAUGAGUAAUUAAAGGAAGAGAGUUACUAGCAUUUGAGCGCAAGGCCUGGGACAUCACAACACGUCAACAAAGAUUGGCUGUCUUUCCCUAUUGAAAUGUUUUCUUGGUUUAUCUAAUUAUCCACACACAACAUUCAGAAAUGACUGAAAAAUGAACACACGUUGCUCUUUGGUCUUCAGUAAUGAGGAAGUAAGCGCGUCAUUUCACUGUUGAAGUCAAUGGCGCACAUUUCAAAGAUGGGGAUCGGGUACAUCAGUGUGUCCUGACCUAGAAAUGACUGUGGCAUGUAUCCACUAAGAGGUAAAUAACUGUAAAUGAAUACUUCCCAGGCAGCAUGGGAUUUUAAUUAUUGUCAUCUGGGUUUAGUGAGUUUUUGACAGGGGCACUUGCCAAUGUACUGUAUGUUACGAAACAGUACUGCCUAAGGUGACUUAAGAGAGACAGAGAAACAUUACUCAGGUAUCCAUGAGGCAAAAAAGCAAAAGAGAGCAAGUGAGAGUAAGAGGAGAGAGACAGAAAUAGAGAGGGAGGAAAACAGACAGACAAAGACAGGUAGAAGGAGGGAAUCAGAGAUAGAGACAGAGAAAGACUGACAUAGAAACUGGCUGGUUUGGUGGUAAGAGUAAUCGAGAGAGAGGGUGUGCUAGCGAACGCUUUCUGACUGUGGGAAAGCAAACAUUGUCUCCCCUAUCACGGGUCUUGACCUUGGAUACCAGGAAGGUGACUAAAGGAGGAAUGAUUAUUUUCUUUG